GGGUGAGUAACACGUAUGCAACCUGCCCCUGUCAGGGGGACAACCCGCCGAAAGGCGGGCUAAACCCGCGUACAUGCCACCGGGGCAUCCCGGAGGCAGGAAAGGCUUCGGCCGGACAGGGAUGGGCAUGCGGCGCAUUAGGCAGUAGGCGGGGUAACGGCCCACCUAACCGACGAUGCGUAGGGGUUCUGAGAGGAAGGUCCCCCACACUGGUACUGAGACACGGACCAGACUCCUACGGGAGGCAGCAGUGAGGAAUAUUGGUCAAUGGUCGGGAGACUGAACCAGCCAAGCCGCGUGAGGGAGGAAGGUACAGAGUAUCGUAAACCUCUUUUGUCAGGGAACAAAGACUGGGACGCGUCCCCGGAUGAGUGUACCUGAAGAAAAAGCAUCGGCUAACUCCGUGCCAGCAGCCGCGGUAAUACGGAGGAUGCGAGCGUUAUCCGGAUUUAUUGGGUUUAAAGGGUGCGCAGGCGGUCUGUUAAGUCAGCGGUCAAAGCCCGGGGCUCAACCCCGGCCCGCCGUUGAAACUGGCAGUCUCGAGUUGGAGAGAAGUAUGCGGAAUGCGCGGUGUAGCGGUGAAAUGCAUAGAUAUCGCGCAGAACUCCGAUUGCGAAGGCAGCAUGCCGGCUCCACACUGACGCUGAGGCACGAAAGCGUGGGUAUCGAACAGGAUUAGAUACCCUGGUAGUCCACGCAGUAA
rnacentral:rRNA from 1 species